CGGGGGCAAGAGGUUCGACUCGAGCGCAGCGAGAGAACGUUGCGUCAGCAACGGCCCGCAGGGCGAGCCACGCAGUGGCGAGUCAUCCUCUAUCACCGACCA
rnacentral:sRNA from 1 species